AAAUUAAGUUGUUCCAUUUGAGAGAGUGAAUUAUUAUGAGUGCAUAAGUAUACUACUGAAAAGGAUCCUCUAUUUUCCUGUAAAGUUUAUCAAUGAUUUGAUCCCUUACAUAUAUUCCAGCCUUCACAUCAUAUGGUAAAAUAGAGUGGAAGAUUGAACCUACAGGGCAUGGGAAUGUUGGUAAUUAAAACACGAUGAUGUCUUUUAGCUCUGUCCUCCAAUUGUAUUCCUGCCAUGGAUUUCAGAAAUAAAAGAGAUUCUUCCAAAUGCGUAAACUAGAUAGAAGAUAUAUCUAGAUGACUAGAUGGCGGGUUUUCCUUGACAUGAUGAGAAUGUGAAGAUGACCUUUAGAAAAGUACCAAUUGAUAAUACCACAUAGGGCUAUGAAGUCUUGAGAACACCCUAUCUGGGGAUGAGUAGCACUUAACACUUAGGUCAUAUAAUCCUCCGAUAGGAUCCUCCACUCCCGUUCUCAAUUCUUUCUCUCACAAAUUUUAGUAGUAGGGAAUGUCCACAUUAAUGCUAACUCCAUUAUUGUGUUGUAUUCAUGGAAAUAAUUGUCUUAGAACCUUGCGCAAGCUGCUUUAAGCUGAGUAUAUCUGAAAGCAACUUCUGUUAUAGCACUGCUGCUGUGAGGGUUAGAACUGCUAGAUUGUCAGCACAAGUGGUGCAAAUAAAGUUAUGGAAGAAUGCUUGCUUGGAUAGAACUGAUUACAACGACCAUAGGAAGUCCAACUUGCAUCUUCCCAAGCUUGACUAAGUCAAACUAUCUGCACUAUAACAGACAGCAGGUUGAGUUGCAAUACAUCCUGAUUUCAAGAUUUGGAUACAGCAUGGAUGCAAGUUGUUAGGAGGAUACAGUAGGAAAGUUUCUUGGGAGCGUUCUUGCGAGCUUACUAGAAGCUUAGAGAAGGCAUAUACUGUACUGCUGAAAUAAACUCCGAACAAGGCAGCAUUGAG